UAGGGAAUAUUAGAAAUGGACGAAAGUCUGAUCUAGCGACACCGCGUGUGCGAAGAAGGCCCUCGGGUUGUAAAGCACUUUUUGGAAGGAAUAGGAAGGAAGGUACUUCCAGAAUAAGUCUCGGCUAACUACGUGCCAGCAGCCGCGGUAACACGUAGGAGGCGAACGUUAUCCGGAUUUACUGGGCGUAAAGCGCGUGUAGGUGGUUUUGUAAGUAGGGCGUGAAAGCUCCCGGCUCAACUGGGAGAGGCCGUUCUAAACUACAGAGCUAGAGGAUGGUAGAGGGAGGUGGAAUUCCAGGUGUAGCGGUGGAAUGCGCAGAUAUCUGGAGGAACACCAGUGGCGAAGGCGGCCUCCUGGACCAUUCCUGACACUCAGACGCGAAAGCUAGGGUAGCAAA
rnacentral:rRNA from 1 species